ACGCUCGACACCUACGGGAGUCAGCAGUGGGGAAUAUUGGGCAAUGGGCGCAAGCCUGACCCAGCAACGCCGCGUGAAGGAAGAAGGCUUUCGGGUUGUAAACUUCUUUUGUCAGGGACGAAGACGUGACGGUACCUGACGAAUAAGCUCCGGCUAACUACGUACCAGCAGCCGCGGUAAUCUGAGCGGGCUGGCAAGGC
rnacentral:rRNA from 1 species